UACGUAGGGGGCAAGCGUUGUCCGGAAUCAUUGGGCGUAAAGCGCGUGUAGGCGGCUCGAUAAGUCUGCUGUGAAAGUCCAAGGCUCAACCUUUGAAAGCCGGUGGAUACUGUGGGACUAGAGUACGGAAGAGGCGAGUGGAAUUCCUGGUGUAGCGGUGAAAUGCGCAGAUAUCAGGAGGAACACCAAUUGCGAAGGCAGCUCGCUGGGACGUUACUGACGCUGAGACGCGAAAGCGUGGGGAGCAAACAGG
rnacentral:rRNA from 1 species